rnacentral:rRNA from 1 species
AAAAGAAACCAACAGGGAUUGCCUCAGUAACGGCGAGUGAAGCGGCAACAGCUCAAAUUUGAAAUCUGGCUCUUUCAGAGCCCGAGUUGUAAUUUGUAGAAGAUGCUUCGGGUGCGGCCCUAGUCUAAGUUCCUUGGAAGAGGACAUCACAGAGGGUGAGAAUCCCGUACGUGACUGGGUGCCCGCGCGCAUGUGAAGCUCUUUCAACGAGUCGAGUUGUUUGGGAAUGCAGCUCUAAAUGGGUGGUAUAUUUCAUCUAAAGCUAAAUAUUGGCCAGAGACCGAUAGCGCACAAGUAGAGUGAUCGAAAGAUGAAAAGCACUUUGGAAAGAGAGUUAAACAGUACGUGAAAUUGUUGAAAGGGAAGCGCUUGCAAUCAGACUUGCGUGCCGUCGAUCAUCCUAGGUUCUCCUAGGUGCACUCGGCGGCGCUCAGGCCAGCAUCGGUUCUAGUGGCGGGAUAAAGGCCUUGGGAAUGUAGCUCCUCUCGGGGAGUGUUAUAGCCCUCGGUGCAAUGCCGCCUACUGGGACCGAGGACCGCGCCUCUGGCUAGGAUGCUGGCGUAAUGGUUGUAAGCGACCCGUCUUGAAACACGGACCAAGGAGUCUAACAUCUAUGCGAGUGUUUGGGUGUUAAACCCACACGCGGAAUGAAAGUGAACGGAGCUAAGAACCCUUCAGGGUGCAUUAGCGACCGAUCCUGAUGUCUUCGGACGGAUUUGAGUACGAGCAUAGCUGUUGGGACCCGAAAGAUGGUGAACUAUGCCUGAAUAGGGUGAAGCCAGAGGAAACUCUGGUGGAGGCUCGCAGCGGUUCUGACGUGCAAAUCGAUCGUCAAAUUUGGGCAUAGGGGCGAAAGACUAAUCGAACCAUCCCUUAGGCACAUAUAUCAUAGUAUUAUAUGAUAACUUGUUUGUUGCUAGGUGGCUAAGAGAUAUUUAAAGGAAUAUCUAGUCCUGAUCAUAGGGCAACACUUUCAAAUUGUUCGGGGACGUCCUAAUAAGCUAAACUACCGCAGCUCUGUCGAAAGACUUAGUGCGCACCAGGGUAAUGACCUAGGGGAUGGUAAUAACGUUUAGAUAGGGAUAAUCCGCAGCCAACUCCUAAGGCGGAUAAGACAAUCUUAUCAGCUAUGGAUGCAGUUCACAGACUAAAUGUUAGUGGGCUUAUUGCGAAGGCGCAAAAGUUUAAGUUAUAGUCGGACCCCUAGGAGACUAGGCAGAUAGGAAGAAUAUUAGCUAGAUGAUCCCUUGUACUUUUAUAGUAUUUGGUAGCUAGUAGGAGAGCCUAUCUGAGGAAUACUUCGGCAUUCCUGGAGGAGUUUACCCUUAUAUUGCUGCUAGUUCUUAUAGUCGAUAGUGGCCAGGUUGGGCGAUCACUUGAUAGACGUAGUAGGGUA